rnacentral:lncRNA from 1 species
CUCUCUCUACUCUCUACUUUCUCUCUCUAUUUUUUCUCUCUAAAAUUUUCUCUCUAUUCUUCAUGGAUUUCUUUCUCUAAAGAUUUUAUGGGCCAACAGAGAGUCUAGGUACAUGAUAGGUUUGAAUCAAUAAUAGAAGGUGCCUUAGACUAGGUUGUGAGUUCCAGGGUCCUGAGCUAGCAUCAUGCAACCACCUAUACAA